ACCCUUUGCGUUAGGGCGCGAGUGACGGAAACAGAUCCCUCUAUUUGUAGGUUUGUCGGUAUCCUCUUUCUAAUGCUGGCCUUCGAUUACCAGUCAGUGGCUUGCAGUCUAUUCCGUUAAUAACUAUUGAAAGCUCAGAAUUGAUUGCUGAGGCAAUGUGACUGCAUUGGGAUGCGGCAAAGGACAACAUGAGGAGGCCCCUGCUUUCCAGGAAGUUACAUACAGGGAAGAAUAUCUAGGCUUUUUCAUUUGGCAUACGCUAAUCAUUUUGUAAGCGAUUGUUAAAGUGAGGGUGGGUUUUUAGACAGAAAAUAAGUGAAACAAAUUUCAGAUAUAGUAAGAGCCAUAAUUUGGUGGAGAUGGUUGGGUUGGACCUAUUUAAUUAGGAUGGUUAGAGAAAACUCAGAUAGGAAUUAAGGAAAUUAGAGAAAAGUCUGAUAGAGUAACAAGUUAGCUGAGAGCUGUGGUAAGAGAAGGAGGUGAUUAAAACUAGAGCCAGGGUAAAAACAUGAUUGUUGGAACGUACAGCAAAAACAAUGACCAUGAGACAGGAAGGGACUUAGUGUGUGCGUUUCAAAAAUUGAAUGGCCUGUGUGUACUGGGGAGUAAGGUUAAAGAGUUUGACAAGGGUCAGGUCAUGAUUAUGGUAAGGAAUAUGGGGUUUUUUUCUAAGUACUCUGCAGUGUCCUUUGCUAGUUACUUCUCAUCUUUUAGGCCUUUUCAUUUUGAAGAGCCCCAGGGAUCUUGGACCUCUUCUCCAUCUAGACCAAUGCCCUAAAUGGUAACGUCCUUUGCAUGCAGUCUGCACAUUGACAACUCCCAAAUUAUAGCCGCAAAACUGACUAUUAGUCCCAGACUCAAAUGUACCCAGCAUUUCAACGUGAGCUUGUCCCAAACCAAGUUUCCCCAUGUAGCUUACCAAACCUGCUCCAGCUGCACUCUUCACCUCGGUGAAUGGCCACUCCAUCUGUACAGUUCCCCAGACUCAAAACCUUAGAGUCAUCAUUGACUUUUUCUCUUACACUGUGCAUGAAAUCUACCAAAAAACCUUUUAACUCUAAUCUUUACGGCAUAUUCAGACCCAAUCAGUUCACACCACCUCCGAAGUUUCAACUCUAGUGCACACCACCACUAUCUCCUGCUUUGAUUUUGGGAAUCACCUCGUCACUAAUCACCUUGCUUCCCCUCUUCCUCCUGUGCUUUAUUCUUCAUAAAGCAGCCAGAGUGAAGUUUUAAAAGUCAAAUUAUGCUUAAAGGUCUCCAAGGCUUGCUAUCUCAUUUAGAGUAAAAGAUGUAGUAGGUAUUAUAAGUGACCUAACAAGCCAGUAGAUCAUCUGGACCCAUUACCUCUCUGACCUCAUCUCCUAAAUGUUCCCCUCUUGCUCACUUGACUCCAACCACACAGAUUUCCCUUCAGUUCCUCAGCUACUCCCAUCCUGCUUUCAUCUUGUCCUGUUAUAUUUGCUAUUACCUCUACCCGGAAUGUUCUUCUCCCAGUUAUCUGCAUAGCUCUUUCCCUGUCUCCUUCAUAUUUUGCUCAAAUGUCAUCUGCUCAAUGAGACCUUCCCUGACCAGUCUAUUUAAAAAUGUAACUAACCUGCCUACAAGAACUUCUCAUCUUGCUUUCCUGCUUUAUUUUUUUUGUUUUACAGUAUUUUACUUAUUUUAUUUACUUUUGGUCUUCCCUGACUAUUGUAUUAAUUCCACAAGAUCAGGGAUUUUGUCAUUAUUUUAAAUAUAAUAACUGCUUCUCGAAAGUCUAAACAAUGCCCAGUAUAUAGUUGGCACUCAAUAAAUAUUUUUGAAUGUGUAUAUGAGUAAAAGAAGGAGGUAGGCCUUUGGAGAGUGAUGUAAAGUUUAUUUAUUUAUUUAUUUUGAGACGGAAUCUCUCUCCGUUGCCAGGCUGGAGUGCAGUGGUGCGAUCUCGCGUCACUGCAACCUCUGCCUGCCGGGUUCACGCGAUUCUUCUGCCUUAGACUCCUGAGUAGCUGGGACUACAGGCACGUGCCCAGCUAAUUUUUGUAUUUUUAGUACAGACGGGGUUUCACCAUGUUGGCCAGGAUAGUCUUGAUCUCCUGACCUCAUGAUCCGCUCGCUUCAACCUCCCAAAGUGCUAGGAUUACAGGUGUGAGCCACUGCACCUGGCCUGAUGUAAAGAUUUUUAGUUGAAAUGUAUUCUAACUAUUGUGUGGUAAAUGAAUUGUGAAGGGGCAGGAAUGAAGGCAGCAGGAUCAGUUUGAUGUUCUCAGACUGGGCGAGGGCUAAUGGUGGUAUAGACAAGUAUAUUCAUACAAGUAGCGAGAAGAGAUAAGAUCUAAGAUGGACUUUGGUGGUAGAACCAACAAGACUUGCUCCUGGAUUGGAUAUGAUGGAUAAGGAAGAGUAAAAAUCAAAAUGAUUUCUAGAAAUACUACUCAGCUAAAAAGGAGGGGACUAGCUAUACACACAACAACCUUAAUGAAUUUCCAGGGAAUUACGCUGAGUGAAUAAAAGUUACUUCCCAGCCGGGCGCGGUGGCUCAUGCCUGAAAUCCCAGCACUUUGGGAGGCUAAGGCAGGUGGAUUGCCUGAGGUCAGGAGAUCGAGUCC
rnacentral:lncRNA from 10 species